AGUGAACGCUGGCGGUAGGCCUAACACAUGCAAGUCGAACGGCAGCACAGUAAGAGCUUGCUCUUACGGGUGGCGAGUGGCGGACGGGUGAGGAAUACAUCGGAAUCUACUUUUUCGUGGGGAUAACGUAGGGAAACUUACGCUAAUACCGCAUACGACCUACGGGUGAAAGCAGGGGAUCUUCGGACCUUGCGCGAUUGAAUGAGCCGAUGUCGGAUUAGCUAGUUGGCGGGGUAAAGGCCCACCAAGGCGACGAUCCGUAGCUGGUCUGAGAGGAUGAUCAGAACACUGGAACUGAGACACGGUCCAGACCCCUACGGGAGGCAGCAGUGGGGAAUAUUGGACAAUGGGCGCAAGCCUGAUCCAGCCAUACCGCGUGGGUGAAGAAGGCCUUCGGGUUGUAAAGCCCUUUUGUUGGGAAAGAAAAGCAGCAGGUUAAUACCCCGCUGUUCUGACGGUACCCAAAGAAUAAGCACCGGCUAACUUCGUG
rnacentral:rRNA from 1 species